UACGUAGGGUGCAAGCGUUUAAUCGGAAUUACUGGGCGUAAAGCGUGCGCAGGCGGUUUUGUAAGUCUGUCGUGAAAUCCCCGGGCUCAACCUGGGAAUUGCGAUGGAGACUGCAAGGCUAGAAUCUGGCAGAGGGGGGGUAGAAUUCCACGUGUAGCAGUGAAAUGCGUAGAGAUGUGGAGGAACACCGGUGGCGAAGGGCGGCGAUCUGGGUCGAUACUGACGCUGAGG
rnacentral:rRNA from 1 species